CACCUGCCCUGAGAGCCCUGCCCAGCUCGGCUGGUGAAGACCCCCCACCCCCUGCCACCCUCUCCUGUGGGCUCCUCAAAGCCACCCCCUCUGGAUCUAAUAGCAGCACCACUCGGAGAGCAUGCCCUUCGCUCCAGGGGCUUCAGAGCAUUUCUUUCCGCACAAACCUAACUAGACCUCCAGUGACACCAGCUUGGGUCAAGCCACUACCUUUGCUCCAGGUCGGAGCCUUGUGAUUGCCACCCACCUCUCACUGCCAUGUGAAUGGGCCGCUCAAAGGUGGCAGGUCCCUGACAUAUGUGGCCAUGGUGCUCCAUGGUGCAGUUGUAGGAGGACCUGUGACCCUGCCACCUGCCUCCCACUCCUCCCUUUAUGUACCUGAUCUGCCUGUGCCAGCCUAGAAUGCCACUCGCCCCCAUGCCUAGCAUGGCUCCCGGCACAGACAGGACACCUGCAGAUGAGUGCUGAAUGAAGAGACCUCCGAGGAUGCUUGGUGACAUGGGGCUUUGGAGCCUGGUCUGGCACUUGGCUCUUUGGUGCUCCCUGCCCCAGGAGAGGACGUGACCGUGUGAAGUAGCAGGAAGUAGAAGGGGCCUCUGCUUGACUUUUAUAGGAAACAGCUUUGGAAUUAGGGGAAACUAUAAAGGCAACAGAUAUAGAAAAACACCCUGGGAGAGUAAAAACAGUCCCACCCCAUUGACUAGCAAAGUCCUCUCUGCAUGGAAGGAAGCCGGGCUGUGUGAGGGCCAUGGCUCCUCAUGGGGCUGGAUCCAGGGGUGGGGUGGGGGGACACGCACCUUCUCUUCUAAGGAGGCAGCAAGGCCCAGAGAGGGGAAAGGUUUGUGUGUUGUGACAGGGUCACAAGUCUCAGACAUCCUCAUUGUGGCCUUUCUGCCCCAUCAGACUGUGGAAACAGUGGACGGAUCCCUGAUACAACUCUGGCCAAAGAAGUCAGAGAGACGUCUCGUCCACUCCUAGAUUGGAUCCCAGGACACCUCCCUGGUGACCAAGUGGUCUUAUGACAUGGAGGUCUCACUUGAUGCCCAUGGAUACUCAGACAUCCUCUGGGGGAAAGAUGUGAAGCUUGAAUUGUCUGAGACUAAGAGGCACCCACUAUGUAUGCACCUCCAAAAUGCAGACAAGGCCGUCAUAGAAAGUGGAGAAAGUCCCAUUUCUUACCCACUUGAAUUUGUGGACUGAGAGGUGUGGUGCUACGAGUCCAUGCAAAGGGAGCAGCAUGGUGCCUGGGGCAUGGCGGGCUGUGGCUGCCAGGUCUGGUGUAGGUGGGGUUGCUAUGACAGCCUGGGUUCCUAGACAUCUUUUCUGUUGAGGUCACUGAGGCGGGCAGCUAAACCCUGGGAGGUGCCCCUCGGCCCCUGGCCCUCCCUUGUGUCCCUGAGAUCUGAAUGUAACACUGUUCCUCUCUCCCCCUCCCCAGGCUCUUGGCAUUCUCUGUACCAUUAGCCCCACUCCCCUUAUGUCUCUGCUUGCCCCAUCGGGGCUCUUCAUAGCUUCUUCUCACAGGACCCACACAUGCCAGGCUGAGCCUGCUUUAGCAGAAUGCAUGGCAAAGGAUCACAGAUUGUCAUUGUUGCUAUUGUUGUCUCCCUCUAAGUUUGUCUUUGCCAUUUAGUCACAUAGAUGCUCACAUCUCAU
rnacentral:lncRNA from 1 species